rnacentral:rRNA from 1 species
AACGAACGCUGGCGGCAUGCCUAACACAUGCAGGUCGAACGAGACCUUCGGGUCUAGUGGCGCACGGGUGCGUAACGCGUGGGAACCUGCCCUUAGGUUCGGAAUAACUCCCCGAAAGGGGUGCUAAUACCGGAUAAUGUCUUCGGACCAAAGAUUUAUCGCCUUUGGAUGGGCCCGCGUUGGAUUAGCUAGUUGGUAGGGUAAAAGCAUACCAAGGCGACGAUCCAUAGCUGGUCUGAGAGGAUGAUCAGCCACACUGGGACUGAGACACGGCCCAGACUGCUACGGGAGGCAGCAGUGGGGAAUAUUGGAAAAUGGGCGAAAGCAUGAUACAGCAAUGCCGCGUGAGUGAUGAAGGCCUUAGGGUUGUAAAGCUCUUUUACCCGGGAUGAUAAUGACAGUACCGGGAGAAUAAGCUCCGGCUAACUCCGUG